AUACGCGACGUACGUGUUAAAAAUAUCUUUGAUAUCAUUACUCUAAUUAUAGAUAAAAAUAUUUUUUUUUUGCAGAAAGAAAUUCAUGAAAAAGCAGCAAGUCUUGUUGCGUUUGCGACUGUCACUAAUUAUGGAAAAUUGAAUGGGUUGAUAUUUAUUGAUAGACUUUUACAGCUGGCUAAUAAUGGACAAAGUAGAGAAUGCCGGCUUAUGUCUAUAAAGGCACUGACAAAUAUCGCGGAAGUACCAGAAGGACGAGAAAAAUUGCUUGGUCAUUUAAUAUUUAUUGAGCACAUCAAUACGGAAAAGGACAGAGUAUUGAAGAAACAUAAAAAUAUCCUGCUAAAAGUAAUACAUUGGCAUCCGUGAUGACUAGCUACCAUCUUCUCAAUAAACCCAUUCAUAUUUUCAUAUUUGUACUUUUAAAACACUCAUAUCAAGAACGACAUGAAUAUACUAAUAUUAAGAACAAUAAACGUUAAAUUAAUCUUCGAUUAAUAACCGUCUGACCGGUAAAAUGAAGAAUAAAGACUGAAGCUGAAGAAUAGAAUUGAUUGCCUGUAAUAAAGAUUUAUAUCGUCAGAUAAUUUCGUUAGGUAUUGUAUUAAUAUAUAUAUUUAUGAAUUAUU